AGCGAAUCCAACUUGUCCGCACUUAUGUCUCAGCCUACUUUGAGCCCACCUGGAACUUGCUCUAGUUGGCUAGCUGCAGGUCCUCCAUUUUUAUCAGACUCAUUUACGUAUUGUGAUGAAGUGAUUCCAGCCAUUUGAUUUCUUGUGUUAUGGUUGCAUAAAAAGGAAAGCACAUUGUUUGCUUUUGUGGUCUUGCACUUGUUCCUCAAAAUUCGAUUGUGGAAGAUAACCUCCAAGAUGAAUUGGUCGGCCCAGCACCAUGCGAGAUCCAGAUUUCUAGCACAAGCCUUGAAAGGCCAAUGGCUCUCGGCCUAAUCCGUCAUUAGCCUAGAACAAAAUU
rnacentral:misc_RNA from 1 species